rnacentral:rRNA from 1 species
UGGGGAAUUUUGGACAAUGGGCGCAAGCCUGAUCCAGCCAUGCCGCGUGCGGGAAGAAGGCCUUCGGGUUGUAAACCGCUUUUGUCAGGGAAGAAAUCUUCUGAGUUAAUACCUCGGGAGGAUGACGGUACCUGAAGAAUAAGCACCGGCUAACUACGUGCCAGCAGCCGCGGUAAUACGUAGGGUGCAAGCGUUAAUCGGAAUUACUGGGCGUAAAGCGUGCGCAGGCGGUUUUGUAAGACAGAGGUGAAAUCCCCGGGCUCAACCUGGGAACUGCCUUUGUGACUGCAAGGCUUGAGUGCGGCAGAGGGGGGAUGGAAUUCCGCGUGUAGCAGUGAAAUGCGUAGAUAUGCGGAGGAACACCGAUGGCGAAGGCAAUCCCCUGGGCCUGCACUGACGCUCAUGCACGAAAGCGUGGGGAGCAAACAGGAUUAGAUACCCUGGUAGUCCACGCCCUAAACGAUGUCAACUGGUUGUUGGGAAGGUUCCUUCUCAGUAACGUAGCUAACGCGUGAAGUUGACCGCCUGGGGAGUACGGCCGCAAGGUUGAAACUAAAGGAAUUGACGGGGUCAUAGCUGUUU